rnacentral:lncRNA from 1 species
CCCAAUGAUGGAGAAGGACGAAUCCUGGUGGAAUGGACAGUUACGGGCAUGAGGAGUCCAUUCCCGAAGACGAGGGCCUUCUGGGUGGCACGGACGGCGAGCUCCAUGGGCGGCGGCGGAGGGGUUUUUCCGUUCUGCUCCUGACGGAAAAGAAGCGAGCAAGAGGGAGAGGGAUUAGAGGAGGAAGGAGAGGGAAGGAGGGGUCGCGAGGGAGGAGCACGCGGGGGAAUUCGGUCUCACCGGCGUGGUUCGGCAUGAGGCGGAGCGGACGGGAGGCUGCCGGAGUUGACGUCCCUGACGGAAACUGUUGCGUGAAGCAAACAAGAUAGAGAGGCUUCAGAGAAAAUAAAAGAG